GUACCCGUUUGAGUGGUCCACUUCUCAGUCCAACUCUGAUCUUGGUGUGCAGGGCAGCAGUAAAGAGAUCUGGAGUCUGGGAAGUUCAAGAGCAUGGCACCAACAUCUGGCAAGGGCUUUCAUUCUGCAUCAUCUCAUGGAGGAAAAUAAAAAGGCAAGUGAGUGUGAGAGAGCAAGAGAGCAAGAAAAGGAAAGGGGGUCAAACUCACCCUUUUAUCACGAAAACACUCUAUCGAUAACAGCAUUGAUCCAUUCAUGAGGGAAGACCCCUCAUGUCCUAGUCACCUCUUAAAGGUCCAACCUUUCAACACUGGUUGCAUUGGGGAUUAAGUUUCAACACAUGCUUUUUGGGUGGCAUAAUUAAACCAUAACACACUUGUUAUUAGGUCAGGAGAUUUCCCAAGGUCAGAACAGUGACAGAGCUAAGCCCUGAACUUUUGUGACCUUCAAACCAGGAUUGUUUCCACAAUUUGUCAUACAUGGAUAUUUAGAACAUACUUUAGAAGUGGAGGAAAGAAUAAAAUAAUUUGAAGAUGGAGUACCCAAAAGCUGUGCCAGACAAGUCCAUUGAAACU
ensembl:lncRNA LINC01539 long intergenic non-protein coding RNA 1539